UACAGAGGUCCCAAGCGUUGUUCGGAUUCACUGGGCGUAAAGGGUGCGUAGGUGGUGAGGUAAGUCGGAUGUGAAAGCUCGGAGCUCAACUCCGAAAUGGCAUUGGAAACUACCUCGCUAGAGGAUCGGAGGGGAGACUGGGAAUUCUCGGUGUAGCAGUGAAAUGCGUAGAUAUCGAGAGGAACACCAGUGGCGAAGGCGAGUCUCUGGACGAUUCCUGACGCUGAGGCACGAAAGCCAGGGGAGCAAACGGG
rnacentral:rRNA from 1 species